UGAAUUAAUUUAUUUAAUGACAAAAAUAUUUGUAUCAAAAUUCACCCAUGAUCAUAUAAUAAAAAUAACUAAAAUUAUACUAAAGAAUAAUAUCUCAUUACAAACUCCUUAAAUAAAAGUAAAAUAUGUCCAAUGACAAGAAAAUCUAACUAAAAUAUAUCAAAUAUUACUCCUAAACAAAGAUAUAUAAGUAAAAAUUACCUUCCAAAGUAUCAAUAAUGUGGUGACACAUAGCUUGCAAUCAAUCUUACUUCAAUUCCCACCUUUUAUACCUGUAAAAAGAAAGAGAAAAUAAAAUAAAGAUCUAAAUUGAGAUAUUCAUAUUAGAGUCAAAAGUAAAAUAUGUAACACAAUUUUGUCUUUCAUAUGUUGUAAUGCCCAGUUUUAUAAGUAAUUUUUAAUUUACAAUAUAAAUUUUAUCAUUACAAAUUUAACUUGAGUGAAAGUUUAUGAAGUAUAUCAUCACAAACUACUCUAUAUGGCAACAUAAACUUCAUCAUUCAUGAAACUGCUAACUAUUAAAACAUAAUGUAAAAACUACAAUCUAGUAAAAUUAUAAGUGCAAAAUGAACAAAAGAACAUAAAAAUCCCACAUAAAACCAUAAAACAGUACCAAGUUCAUAUCUUUAACAAUUGGUCUCCUAAAUAAAGAAAAAAUAAAAAAAGAAGACUAAGUUGUGAUUAGGCCUCAUAUGGUAUAGUCUCCAGUCAAUUACUGAACCACAUAGUGUGAAAAAUGAUAAUAAAACAUAGCCAAUAAAACUUAGAUCUACAUAUCCAUUAAAGAUUAACCAGUGAUUAUGUGAAUAUAGGGUUAAAGAAUAUGAAAUACAAAGAAAAGACCUUUCUUGUUGAUUUCUUUUCAAUUUUUGUUUUCAUUUCUCUCUCUAUAUAUUUGUUUUAAAGUUGAACGUGGGAGAUGAGAAAGGAAAGGAAGAUGAAAGAAGACAAAGAAGAAAAAAAGGAAUAUUUUUUUAUCUUUUCUGUAUCAGUGUGGUUGAACUACCUGAAAAUAAUUUAUUUUUUUUAUGUUUCCUAUUUUGAUUCUUUUAAUUUUUUUCCUUUUUAAAAUUAAUUAAUUGUCUUGGAAGAUUAAAAAAAAAAGAACCAUCAAAAUCGAUGACGGAAAACCAACAAUGCAAAUUGUCAUGGGGUCCACCUUAUAAGAUACUAGAAAAAAUAUAUAAAAACAAUUACACUUCCACUAUUUAUUGAUAAUUGAUACACUAUUCUUAAAGUAAAAUUAAGCAAGUGUAA
rnacentral:lncRNA from 1 species